rnacentral:rRNA from 1 species
GAACCGUCCAAACGUUAUUCGGGAAUCACUGGGCUUAAAGGGUGCGUAGGCGGUCCGGAAAGUUGGGGGGUGUGAAAUCCCUCGGGCUCAACCGAGGGAAUAGCGCUCAAAACUUCCGGACUUGAGGGAGACAGAGGUGAGCGGAACUUGCGGUGGAGCGGUGAAAUGCGUUGAUAUCGCAAGGAACACCAGUAGCGAAAGCGGCUCACUGGGUCUCUUCUGACGCUCAGGCACGAAAGCUAGGGGAGCGAACGGGAUUAGAUACCCCGGUAGUCCUAGCUGUAAACGAUGAGCACUUGGUCGGAGGCUCCUCCAUAGGCUUCCAGCCGUAGCGAAAGUGUUAAGUGCUCCGCCUGGGGAGUAUGGUCGCAAAGGCUG